rnacentral:lncRNA from 1 species
GGCCAGGUCAAAGAGUCUAUAAGAAAGAAAUAGAUGAUGUACAGACAGUAUGGUAUGGAUAGAGAGAUGAACAGAUGAAUGGACAGGUAGAUAAAUGAAGGACAGCACAGAAGUAGACAUCAGGAACUCCUCAUUCUGUUAACGCUUCAUCAUCAACUAUCUCUUUUAAAGCUAGGCAAACCGUUUCAUUUUUCUGGGGCUAUUUUCCCUUACCUAUGGGGUGAUGAUCCUAAAGGCUCUUCUCAGGCCCCUCCUAGCUCUCAUUGUCUUUGAUUUUAUGAAACUAGAGAAUUUUCCAAAAUGAUUCAAUUUGACCUUGGCAAUGCCAGGGCCAUUUUGCCAGGAUUUCCCAGAAUUCAUUGCACCAUAAUCAUGGAGGGGACUCGGGAGGUCUUAUUCAUCCAGAGAUCUGGCAACAUCUGGGCAUCCUGAUUUACAUGCAGUGUCCUCUCUUUAUGUUACACUGGAAAGCAACUGUGAGCAAAGCUUACUAUAGAAAGUUCCCACCCUGAAUGAAGACGUUCAAACCAUAAGAAACCAGCAUACUAAAAUUAGCAGUGAUGGCCCCUCUUGCUUCACAGGGCAAAUAGAAAAGUCAGCAUUACCCAAGUCAACCUGGGAGUCUGCAUGCACUUGGCUUUUUUCUAGAAGUCCCUUGUAAAAUGUGAGACUUUCUACCUGGGGCUAUUGCACCUCUAUAUAUCAUACUUAUACUUAUUCCACGCAUUUAGUUUUUCCCCAGGCCCCAAAUUCCAUUUGGCAGGGAAGACUGUGUAAAAAUGGAUGCUUCUUUGGCGCAAAUCCCUUCUGUCUGCUCAGAGGGUGCUUCUCCAUAUAACAACUGUUUUCUUAAGUUGUAAAACAGCAGGGGCAGAGUAAACUGUAUAUACAGCCAGACCGUUACAAUCGCAUAGACAUCUUUUUUCCCCUCUGACUGCCAAUUCUUAAAAGUCAGAGUCGCCACCAUUUGUUUUCUGAAGCUCAAUAACUUUGUUAUUUCUUUGAAUGUUACAGGAAAUGCUGGCAGUGAGGCAAAACCCAGCCUUCUUUAUGCAUGAGGAAAUAAGAGAAGUAGAGGGUAUACCCAGGGUCACCUGGCUUCGGCUUCUUCAGGCUGGUCGGCAUUUCAACUGUCCCAGAGACGGCUGUUGCUUCUAGUUCUAAAUACAGUGGUUCUACAGCCUCCUGAAGGAGCAUUUCUCUAAGUUUAGUCACCCUCAAAGUCGAUUUUCUUAUACCUAACAACUGCCUCCCUCCCAGCCAGGCCCCUUGCCAUAAUUCAAGCCUGCUUCCUCUUUGGUCCUCUGUGGAGAACAAACUUGCUUUGGUGUUUAUGUUCUGUUUAAUGCAGGGUUACAUUAACGUAGGAAUGUCCAGGUUGACAUUCCUACUCUGGAAACCUAAGAAGAGCUCACAGUCAUUCCUUAGACCUGUGUGGUCCUGUCUGUGUCUAUGGCCUGCUUUUCACUCAUAAAGAAGAAUCAGGGUCUGUUAUCAAGUCCCACAGUCUCCCAAGUCUAGGCAUGGCCAGAAAGUCUCGAUCAGAAAAAGCUGAGAGGGCCCUCUGGGGAAAAAUGCAGUCAGAUCUGGAGGGAGUCACCGAGCACAGCAAAUGGAAGGAAGGGAAAAAGCAGACGAGGAACACCAUAUCCUGGUGGCCUGCCCCUGGUGGGCAUGGUGAUUAUUUGCAGAGCUCCAUCCACUCAAGGACUUUGGGAAAGUUGAUGCAGCUUGGGGAAUGGUUCCAGAAGGUGACCCAGAUGCCAUGAGGUUGUGGCCAGGACCACAGGGAAGGCUGCCAUAAAAGCUGCCGUGAUCACAGGAUAGCCUGCAGAGAACUACCUUAAAACCCCACCUAGAAACCACCAUGCAGGGAAGGUCAUCUAGAGGGGACUGGAGCAGUAGCCAGGGAUGAAAGCAGGGAUGCCCUACUGGGGAUCACUAACAUUUCCUGCCUUCAUUCUCUGCAUCAGGCACACAGCAUCAUUUGGCUUGAUCUUAUAAAGAAGCUCUCAUUAUUAUCCCCAUUUUACAGAAGAGGAAAGUGAGGUUCAGCAAGGCUCUGUAGCUCACUGAAGGCUUAAGAAUUCCACUGGCUUGCCCAUAAAGCCCAAAUUCUUAACCACUUCAUUUUACAACCUGACCUCCCUGCAUCUUGGCUUUUGGGGACAGUAGGAAGCCCUGUUUUUCAAUAUCCCUCACUCCAAGAAGAGAGUAUAUUAAUUUUCCACCAGGGACCUGAUACGGUUUGGAGACAUCUGGAUGCUGGGCGGGGGUGCUGGGCAGUUCCACAGACCUGGAACUGUAACCCAGCCUCAGAUCCUGGGGAAGGGUGUGGUUCUGGAAAAGAGCGUUACUCUGGUGUUUACUCAAAGAUAGUCAUUAAGUCACUGUGAAGACAUCUUUUCUGCAGACUAAACAACCUCACUCAUUUUUUUAAAAGCUUCCCUCACAGGAGUUAUUUUUUGGUACUAUCUUUCUAUAUUUACUGGUUUUCCCCAGACAUUCUUCUACCCUCCCACUCUCUAUCUUAAAAAUGCCUGUAAUAAGAUUUUGAUCUGUGCCAUAGAAAGAAAAGGGUCAUUUUCAUAGUUUUCAUCUCUGGCCCUCAUGAAUUAAUAAAAGGCCAGCAUAGACGGUAAUUACUCCCUUGUGGUCCACUCUGACCCUCAGACCUCUUUGGGCUGCCUCUGUGCCUGGCCAAUCUUCCAUUUACUAUUUGUUUCUGAUCCUGUUGAACUUUACUGUAUAUUGAGGAAGCAGUCCUUAGUUUCAUGCUGCCCUGAAUGGUUCUAACAUAUGAUUCAGUCAGCCUAAUUUCCUUUUGCCCUCUAAAAGGAUGCUUCAAAAAGAGCUCAGUGCACAGAAACAAGCUUUGAGUAGCGAGAGUAUUGACAAUGCAACUUUUUGGCUUUACGGGGGCCUGACAUCCCCCUGGGGGAAAGGUUGAACCCAAGGAAUCUGAGACAUGGUCCCUGAGUAUACCAGCCUGGAGGGUGUACCAGCCUGGAGGGUGUACCAGCCCCAAGUGGAUGCACUUACUUCGAGGUUCUCGGGGCCCAUCCACUGUGAUUUUGAUGGCUCUGUGGUAGGUGGCGACUUGCGGUGGGUUUGUGAAGACAGUGAUGGUCAGAGUGAAGCUUUUCCCUGUGGGGACACGAUAGAGAACAAAACAGAAUGAGGUUGGUGGCCUGAACAUAUCUGUUGAAUAACCAAUCAUUAAUUUAUGCUGUCCAGCCCUUCAGCACAAGUUACCAGUUUUGACAACACUCCCGGAAUUUUGGCUUUGCUUCAAUUCUGGAAUACACACCUAUGAUAGUUGCCUAAGUGUAACACUUCACAUAGUUAUAUGGCUUUAAUGUAAUCAUCAAUAAACAAUACAAGAUCAAGAAAGAUUAGAAUUUAUUUUCUGUUAAGUCAGGAUUUCCGGAAACCAUAGAGUCAGAUUGGCAGCUCUCCACUUCUGGUUCCCAACUUCCCUGCUCCCAUCUUUCCCAAUUAUUUAUAAUUCAGGGCAAAUAAGAGUAGAAGAAACCAUAUCCAUCUUUCUCUUCUUACUUUGUACCUUUGAAGAUCAGGAAAGAUAGAAUUUCUAAGUUUGAAAACAGGCUAAAUUAGAAUCAUUCUGUCUAUAUUUUUAAAAGACGAAGUCUGGCUGAUUUUAAAUAUUAUUUGAAAAUGCCAGAUGUUAUUAGAGGUACUCAUGGGAUCAGUCAGAAUAAAAUUGAUGACUCAUAAAUGGACUUAAGUAUAUGUAACUGACAGACUGAGAUUCAAUAAGUACUAGUAAUAAAAAAUGCACAAAAUUUCCAUUACACAUUUUACAUAUAUUUAUAAAAGGUGAGAAAAUCUUCAUUGCAUAGAUUUACUAAUCUAAAAACAUUUCUUGUUGGUAAAGUGAUUCAGAAGAUAAAUCUGGCUAGCUGACCUUUGGCAAGUCACUAGACACCUCUAUGUUCCUCAGUAUCCUUACCAGGAAGAUGGUUACAUGCAAAUUUUCCUACCUUAGAGAGUUUUAGGGGAGAUUAAAUGAUUUACCGUGAGUAACCCUGUUAAAACAGUUAUCUGGCACACGGUAUUCAACAGGGUGUGUCUGUGCGUGUGUGUGUGUGUGUGUGUGUAUGUUGUCUGCUUUAUUUCUCUUCUCUGUUUCUCACGGGUCUAUAAUAGGACCCUAACAUUUGAUUAAGUCUGAUGUUCAAUCUUCCUACAUCAAUACAGUAGUUCUUUAAUCAACAUAGUUUCUCCUCUUAAUCAUGUAGCAUAAAGUAAAUCAAAGACAGAUGAAAGGAAAAUAUUUUCAAUUGUCACACAUGUCUUAAUACAAAGGAAGGCCACAGAAAAACAAAUGUCAUGCGUGUCUUAAUACAAAGGAAGGCCACAGAAAAAUGCUCAAUGAAAAUAUAAUCUUUGGCCACAGCAAGCCACGAUUCCUAAUCGUGAGAAAUCUCCACCGAACACUCCCCAAAGAUGUGGAUUCUAUCUGUAUUAAAGUCUAUAAUAAAAAGAGCAAUAGCAAGUAACAAUUAGAUGAUGAAGGCUGCUCUGCCCAUUGUGCCUUUAUAACUAAAGUCUCAGCUGACCUGUCCAAUAAACGAGGUGAGGAUGCUUCUGGGGAGUGACUUCCAUGGAGCAGAGCAUCAGGGAUGCCAGGAGACUCUGCCUCCAAAUCCAUCUUUCCCAUCAACUGGCCUGUCCCCAGAACCUAGAGACGAGUCUUGUUGGCCUUUGGGGAUUUGCCAGUUUUAGGACAUCGUUCAGAUGUUAUCAGGCGACACUCUGGAUGCUUUCCUACCGUGGCAUCUAGCUGAAGGAGAGGACUGGGUAGAAGAGGCCUUGGCCAGGCCCAGCAAGCAGGGUAUGUGAUGUGAUGUGGAGGAAGAUGCUGCCGCAGAGGGAGGCAGGUCCUGGGGGCAACUGCCCAUCUCACUGGGCAGUCUCUGGCUUUCCAAGAACAGAUCCAGGAGCAAUGACAGCCACAGACGGGGAGCAGCCACAUCCACAUGUUCCAGAGCUGACUAACAGAUUGUCCUACAAGCCUCAUGGUCAGCCUGUUCCCUCUCUGUCAAGAACCCAUGAAGGUUAUCACCUGUAUCAUCAAGACUGAACUCCAGAACCUGCUUUUAGGAUCUUCUCACUAAUAAGACCCUGCCCCAAGUAAUUUCUCACUCACCCCCUCUCCUCCGCAUACCUGACUCCCAGUGUGCACCCUCCGAGUUCUACCCAUGAGCCAUGGCAUUGAGAUGCUGAGGUCUUCCUUCCUCCAGCCACUUCGCCAAUCCAAGGCUCCUUGCUGCACCCUUCACCCGAGUCUUCCUGCCCUUCAGCAUCUGGCAACGGGCAGUCACUCAGUCACUUGUUUUCCAGGCAGCCUUCCUUGAUGACUACAUUUUGCUUUAUGGCUGUUUGGGCUGCCUCAUAAAUCAUCCUUCACCUUUGAUUAUUUAGGGUGUCAUACUGAAUGCAGUUUGCGGCUGUGUAGACCUAGUCUCCCAGAAGGUGGGGACCCUUUUCUAUAUACCCAUGUAGCCCUCACAGAAAGGUGGGAAAGGGUGCAAGUGGGAAGGGGCUUUAGGAGAGAGGGGGUAUUUAAAAUUAAAAAAAAAAAAGUCCCUUGAGGACACAACAAUAGAUAAUGCCAUUGUCCCAGUCCUGAGUAGGUCUAGGGGUGCAUGUGGGUGUAUGAGAGAGAGAGAGAGAGAGACUGAGGUGGUUCUUUCAGCAAGAGAGUUACAAGUUUGGGGAUGCAAUACAAACGAUUUUACCUCUCCAGAUCUCAGUUUCCUCAUCAGCAAAAUGAGGGGGGUUCAUGGGAUGCAUGCAAUGUCCCUUUCAACUCUCUGAUUUCAUCUUCCAAGAAUGCAGCUGGCCUGAGAUGCCCAUAGCCAUGUGCAGGCGGGCAGGUCCACGUGUGAUUCUUCUGUUGCCUACAACUCUAGCACCUCAGUGACUUCAUAAAAAUACUGUAUUUGUUUCCUGGGGCUGCUGUAAUAAAUUAUCACAAACUGGGUGGCUUACAACAAUAGAAAUUAAGACUUUCACAAUUCUGGAAGUCAGAAGUCCCAAAUCAAGGUGGCAGCAGGGCCACACUCCCCCUGAGGGCUCUAGGGAGGAUCCUUGCCUCUUUCUCGCUUCGGAUGGUGGCCAGCAUUUCUUGGCGUUUCCUGACUUGCAGCUGCAGCACUCUAGCCUCUGCCUCCAUCUUCACAUGACUGUCUUCCUACUGGGUGUCCCCUCCCUCUUCUUAGAAGGACAUCAGUCAUUGGACUUAUGGCCCACCCAAGUCCAGUAUGACUUUAUCUCGAUUACACCUGUAAAGACCUUAAGCCAUAUUUUAAGGUUCUAGGUGGACAUACACUUUUUGGAGAACACUAUUUAACUCAGUACAAAUAGCAAUGUAGUAAGAGCUCCCAUCAUGGCUCUACCAGUGACAACUGCUCUACAGGCACGCGUGUGUUUUACCCUCUGGAACAGUCUUGCUCCGAUAGUGGCUCUCCUACCACCACGCUAUCCACGACUACCCAAAUGACAACAAAGAAUGGUUGCAUUCAUAAUACUGGCAUUUUUAAGUCGUGUAGAACUUACAACUUUUUAAACACCUUCCCAUAUACUAUUUCAUUUGGUCCUCACACCAAUCUCAUGAAAUAAACAAGAUGGAUUUUAUUGUUCUUGAUGAAUAGGUAGCAAAGCUAAGGCCCAGAAAGGUUAAGUAAUUUUCCCAAAGUCACACAGCUUUGAUAUACAGCAAAACUCAUAUCCCUGAGCUUUCUACUCACUGUUCUUCCGGUUAUUAUCCCUGAGGUCAUAAAUCUCCACCCGCAAACCCAAUAGCACCAGUACAAGAAAUCUGGACUGGAGAUACUUUAUCCACACCUACCACUGCCCCAAAAAGUAAAAUCUGACUCUGUGAUUCUAAUGUACCAAUGGUACUCAACCUGGGUUAUAGCUCAAAAGCAUUUUCUUACUGAGCUGCGUUUGGGCCUCUGGCAGUUGAGCACUCAUGACACCCCAUCUGGUAAACCACAGACUAACCUAUAUAAUCAGGAGUAAAACUUAAUCAAAGUGAUAAUUUGUGAAAUGAAUGGUCAUUAUCUGAAUUCUCAUUAUUUCAUGCCCAUCUUUUUUUUUUUUUUUUUUUUUUGAGAUGGAGUCUUGCACUGUCUCCUGGGCUGGAGUGCAAUGGCGUGAUCUCGGCUCACUGCAACCUCUGCCUCCCGGGUUCAAGCGAUUCUCCUGCCUCAGCCUCCCGAGUAGCUGGGAUUACAUGUGCAUACCACCACACCCAGCUAAUUUUUUGUAUUUUUAGUAGAGAUGGGGUUUCACUAUGUCAGCCAUGCUGGUCUCGAACUCCUGACAUUGUGAUCCGCCCACCUUGGCCUCCCAAUCAUGCCCUUCAUUUUAAGCACAGUCACAAGACAUUUCCACCGAGCACACACUAGUAGGUGGGGCGUUUUGGCCAGUCAUGUGGUUCUCCCUCACAAAGGGCUCUUGUUUACAGCUUUGGGUACAAGGACAUUUGCUUAUUAUCUUACAGACACAGUGAUGACUUCUUCACAGGUGUAGGUGACAUUUUUCCACAGCACGAAAACUGCCUUACACGUCCUUUGUAUUCUUCCAAUGAGACCCAGCAGAGCCUUGAUACUGGGCUGCAGUCAGCAACGGGCGCACCUGACAGGAGCCACAUGCUCUGCCCUCCACGUGGCCCUGCCCUCUCUGUGGCCCCACCCCAUGGCGGCUGGGACACAGCCCUUCUUGGCCAGCAUCUGCAGAAGUAGGAUCUGUGCCUCGGGGCACACGUGUUAUGAGCCAAAUUCCCUCAUUGAAAUGACCUAUAGGCCUGGUAUUUUAAGUACAUGGGUGUGGAGCACAAAAGACUCUCAAGUGUUUCUCCCAGCGAGCUGCAGCCGGAAUAGUGAGAAAUCACAGGAGAGCAAGGGAGGGCAGGUUGGCUAAAUAGCAACGGCCCCAAAAUGGGCUUUUCAGGACCCAGUGCAGGGGUGGAAGGAUGGGGCUGCUGCCGAGAGGGCCGGUGUUUCUGUUGGCAGCCUGGAGGAUCCAAGGCUCCCUGAAGCACUCACUGGCCUUGGUCUGGUGAGGCCAGCAGAGGCUUUGGUCAGUGCACAGAUGGCCCCAGCACUGAUCCUGUGUGUGCUGCUGGAAGUCGGCAGCUCUUGGUUCCAGAGGGGGCCACCACGGGGUCACAGGGUGGCCUGCAUGGAAGGAAGCCAAGGAAAGGGGUAAACAAGGGGUAAACACCAAGUCCUUCCUCCUGCUCACUGAACCCUGACCACCACAGCAGCAUCAGUUCCAGCCAGGGCUUGGGUUCCAGGAGGACCAUUAGAAGACCAUUAGAAGCACCAAACGACACUCAUACUGAAUAAGAAGGUGAGAACAAAAAACAACAGGGCAGAUGAGGUUUGUCUUGAUGUAGGCUUGGAAGCAGUGAGAGAGAAGAAUUCCAUAUAAAAUCCCAUGAAGGUGGAAACACAGUGGUGAUUCAUUCAGUGUGGACUCUCAAGGCAACCUACUUAGGUUCAAAACCUCGCUCUGCCACUUGCUAGCUGUGUGACCUCAGGCAAGUUACUUGACCUCUCUGGGGCCUCAGCUUUGUCAUCUGUAAAAGGGGGUUAAUAACAGUCAUUCCAUCUCGUAGCAUUGUUCUGCAGGUUAAAUGGAAUGCUGAAUAUACAAGCAGAGCACAGGGAAAGGUCUCAGUAAAUGUCAGUGGAAUGAUCAUUAAAGACAUGAUAAAGGUGAUUCCACAAAGACCAGAGCUGUGACAGAUCCCGUAAGAAGGAGCUGGGGAUGAAGUAGGCACUGACGUCUGACAUGAGGAGGGGUUUUGUGCGUGUGUGUGUGUGUGUGUGUGUGUGUGUGUGUGUGUGUGUGUGUGUUCAGCAGGUGAUGGGGCUGCUACCAGGCCUAAACGCAACUUGAACUUCAAGUUCAAGUUCACUCCUGCCCCGCCAGCUGGCGACCUUUGUAAGGCACAACUGUGAGUGGCUGAUAUGCUAUGUAAACAAGCCAGGCCAGUGCUCCUCACUGCAACAUGUGUUGUCUCCCUCGACGCCAGUGUGUCCAUCCAAAUGCCAGGGCAAAAUACUAACUGCUUUAUUUAGUUGGGAAGAAGGUCAAGGGGUGAGUCUUCCUGGACACUCGCUGCCAUGACACACUCCCCAGGGCCAGUCAGCGGGGAGGCCCCAGGUCUAGGCUUGAUUAGUCUUGACGUUGGCGGCCCUGGGGCUGGUGAACUCUGACAGCCAAUUGUGGUCAAAUAAAGCCACGGCUGGAACCUGCAGUUCCGCAUGGCCCAGCGCACUCUCCACUUCCUCACCACAUCUGGGAAGUGGCUAAACCUCAGGAUUGCUUCAAAUGUGCACACUGCUCCCCAAAGAGCUGAGGGUGGCAAGGAGAUUACAAAGCAAAAAGACAUGCAGCUCGGGGUCAUUUCUUGCCUAGGUGUGAAGAACAUAUUUAAAAGUGCAUCCAGGCCACAUCAGAGCAGAAUCCUCCUAUAACACCCCGUGUCUGACGGGCGAGCCCCGACUCCUGUUGUGACUCGGCCUCCUCAGGUCUAGUUUGCAGGUAUCCCCGGUCUACCUGAGUUGGCUCUGCAGCAGACUCUGUUCCUGUCACUCUCCUUAGUGUAGGUCUGUAAGCAUGAGUCAUCUUCUUCUUUUGGGGACAGUUUCAGGGGAUGUGAAACUUGCCCUUUGUCACGCAAAGGAAGGCUGCAGACACAAAGGAGCCGUCUGCCCUGGGGGCUCAGAGUCCUUAGGAAACACAAUCGCAACAUUUUUCACUCUUGUGUUUGUCUGCAGGAAAGCCAGUUGUGCCCAGAGUCUUGAAACGCCCAAAGAGUGAGAAAGGAAAAAUAAAAGAAAAACAUCGCAGCUUUUAAAAACCAAGAGAGUCAGUGAAGGCUCAGGUUCUGCUCUUUGCAAAUUCAGGAAAUCCCACAAGAUCCUGAAAGGUUGCAGGGAGAUUUCUCCUUUUACAAUAGAUGGCUUUGGGUCUAAUUUUAAUUGCGGAUAACUAAGUAUAAAAAUUAACGUACCCUCGGAUUCCAGGAGUAGUCUGCAUUUGGAGUAUUUUUUAUGAAGUAUUUUUAAUUUUGAUUUCUCACUUUUCCACUGGAACAACCUAACAGCCAAAAUUCAUGCUUAUGCUCCUCUUCCAUUUCCUUACCCAAACAUUUGCCACUAUUUUUGACAGUGGAGUUGUAUAAUUAAUUUAUUUGGGGAUUUCUGGACGGGAUACAAAUCCUUCAACUUGCACAUAAUUUCCUGAUUCUCCAUGCUGAAUUGAAUUAAGAUGUCGGCGUACUGUAUAUACUUGUGUGCAAAGUGCCUGUAUUUGCAGAUUGCUUGAUCCAAUCGCACUCACAUCACACAUGCAAAAUGCAGACUUGAGGCCUAAGCUACUGGCACCAGGACUACCCUCAAAAGUCAGACUGAAAAUCAGGUCCUUAGAAUAUAGAACUCAGUUUUCCAUGGAAAUGGCAUUUGUUUGGAAUUAUGGAUUGUUUGAAAAAUAGCUGUUUUACUUGGAGAAAACCGAAGACAUGCAAAGCAUUUUCUCUGGAGAUGUUCUAUGAAAAUGAGUUGUUUGAGGACAGGGACAGAAUUUUAUUCAUCUUUGUAUCUUCUAUUCUGAGGCAAUAAAGAAAAGUUUGAUAAAUGAGGCCAGGCAUGGUGGCACAUGCCUGUAAUCCCAGCACUUUGGGAGGCCAAGACGGGAGGAUCACUAGAGCUCAGGAGUUCAAGACCAGUCUGGGCAGCUUGGUGAAACCCCA